rnacentral:rRNA from 1 species
GAUGAACGCUGGCGGCGUGCCUAAUACAUGCAAGUCGAGCGAACGGACGAGAAGCUUGCUUCUCUGAUGUUAGCGGCGGACGGGUGAGUAACACGUGGAUAACCUACCUAUAAGACUGGGAUAACUUCGGGAAACCGGAGCUAAUACCGGAUGAUAUUUUGAACCGCAUGGUUCAAAAGUGAAAGACGGUCUUGCUGUCACUUAUAGAUGGAUCCGCGCUGCAUUAGCUAGUUGGUAAGGUAACGGCUUACCAAGGCAACGAUGCAUAGCCGACCUGAGAGGGUGAUCGGCCACACUGGAACUGAGACACGGUCCAGACUCCUACGGGAGGCAGCAGUAGGGAAUCUUCCGCGAUGGGCGAAAGCCUGACGGAGCAACGCCGCGUGAGUGAUGAAGGUCUUCGGAUCGUAAAACUCUGUUACUAGGGAAGAACAUAUGUGUAAGUAACUGUGCACAUCUUGACGGUACCUAAUCAGAAAGCCACGGCUAACUACGUG